rnacentral:rRNA from 1 species
GCAUAUCAAUAAGCGGAGGAAAAGAAACCAACAGGGAUUGCCCUAGUAACGGCGAGUGAAGCGGCAACAGCUCAAAUUUGAAAGCUGGCUCCGGCCCGCAUUGUAAUUUGCAGAGGAUGCUUUUGGCGAGGUGCCUUCCGAGUUCCCUGGAACGGGACGCCAUAGAGGGUGAGAGCCCCGUAUGGAUGGACACCAAACCUGUGUAAAGCUCCUUCAACGAGUCGAGUAGUUUGGGAAUGCUGCUCUAAAUGGGAGGUAAAUCUCUUCUAAAGCUAAAUACCGGCCAGAGACCGAUAGCGCACAAGUAGAGUGAUCGAAAGAUGAAAAGCACCUUGAAAAGGGGGUUAAACAGUACGUGAAAUUGUUGAAAGGGAAGCAUUUAUGACCAGACUUGCGCCGGGCAGCUCAUCAGGGGUUCUCCCCUGUGCACUCUGCCCGGCUCAGGCCAGCAUCGGUUCUCGUGGGAGGAUAAGAACAGUGGGAACGUGGCCCCCCUCCGGGGGGGUGUUAUAGCCCAUUGUACGAUACUCUCGUGGGGACCGAGGUUCGCGCUCCGCAAGGAUGCUGGCGUAAUGGUCAUCAAUGACCCGUCUUGAAACACGGACCAAGGAGUCGUCCAUUAGAGCGAGCGUUUGGGUGUAAAACCCGCACGCGUAAUGAAAGUGAACGCAGGUGAGAGCUUCGGCGCAUCAUCGACCGAUCCUGAUGUCUUCGGAUGGAUUUGAGUAAGAGUUUUAACGGACGGACCCGAAAGACAGUGAACUAUGCUUGUAUAGGGUGAAGCCAGAGGAAACUCUGGUGGAGGCUCGCAGCGGUUCUGACGUGCAAAUCGAUCGUCAAAUAUGAGCAUGGGGGCGAAAGACUAAUCGAACUGUCUAGUAGCUGGUUACCGCCGAAGU